rnacentral:rRNA from 1 species
UGAUGCAGCGACGCCGCGGUGGGUGAAGAAGCGCCUCGGCGCGUAAAGCCCUGUCAGCAGGGAAGAAAAUGACGGUACCUGAAGAAGAAGCCCCGGCUAACUACGUGCC